rnacentral:rRNA from 1 species
UACGUAGGGUGCGAGCGUUAAUCGGAAUUACUGGGCGUAAAGCGUGCGUAGGCGGUUCGCUGUGUCCGAUGUGAAAGCCCCGGGCUUAACCUGGGAAUGGCAUUGGAAACUGGCGGGCUUGAGUGCGGCAGAGGGGGUGGAAUUCCGCGUGUAGCAGUGAAAUGCGUAGAGAUGCGGAGGAACACCGAUGGCGAAGGCAGCCCCUGGGUCGACACUGACGCUCAGGCACGAAAGCGUGGGGAGCAAACAGG